rnacentral:rRNA from 1 species
AUGGAGCUUGCAAUAGCUGCUGUCAUGCCAACCACGACGCACCGAUGGUGCAAGUGGCACGUGUUCAAGAAGAUGAAGGAAAAGGUAGGUAAUUUAUAUAGGAAGGGUUCCGAAUUCCGCAUCGAAAUCGACAUGCUGAUCAAUGAGAUGAUGACUGUGGAUGAGUUCGAGAAAGAGUGGGAUACAUUAAUGUAUACUUACGGUCUGGAUAAGAACUCAUUCAUGAAGCAAGUCUAUGAUGUUAGAUAUAAGUGGGCAAAACCAUAUUUGAAGGAUAGCUUCUGCGCGAAAAUGUGCAGCACUCAAAGAAGUGAGUGCAUGAACAAUGUUUUGAAAAGUUAUGUAGCAAGAUCAGCACCCCUGAACAGCUUUGUUGUCCAAUUCAACAAACUGUACGCCGACAGAUGUUCCGAAGAGGACUAUGAGCAUGCCCAUAUAAGCAAGGACGAGAUAGUCCUGAAAUUCAAUCUACCAAUAGAACGCCACGCCUCCCGUGUUUGCACAAGAGCAAUGUUUAGGAUUUUUUCUGAGGAGCUAUUCCAUUCUGGACCAUAUGAAGUGAAGGGCAACCAGCUUGAUGGGAAGAUGAUAGUAGAGCAUGUAAAUGCUGAGACCAGGAAACGCUGGUGCAAGGUCAAUUACGAAGUAGAUGUGGACAGAGAAAGCGACACAUACAUAUGCGAGUGUGGCAUGUUUGAGCAUUCUGGCAUUUUGUGCAGGCACAUUCUGAAGGUCAUGCUUCAUGUGAAGCUGCACACAAUUCCAAACCAGUACAUACUAAAGAGGUGGACAAGAAAUGCACGCGACAAUCUACCGAAGCAUCUGAAGUGCUACCAGGAGGAUGCAAGUGUGCAAGUAUCCCAGACAUUCAGACACAAUCUCAUAUACGUGAAAGCACUUGAGCUAGCGAAGUUGGCAAACACGGCUGUCCCGACAUUUCAGCAUGCAAUCAAUAAGUUUCAUGAAAUGCAGGGAGAGCUGCUCAAAAUGAUUGCCAUUGGGGGGUAUGAAAACCCUACAACAAAGAUCAGGAGUUCAUCUGGUACAAUGGGAGACGGGGGGAGCUAG